rnacentral:tRNA from 1 species
ACCGAUGUGGCAGAUUAGUGCAAAGAAGUUAAGUUUCUUGAAUGAAUAUUUAUAUUCCUUUGGUA